GAACGUUUGGCUCAGUGGAAAGAGCGCUCGCACGGAACGUCAGAGGUCGCGGGUUCGAGUCCCGCAUCGUUCA